UCAGAAAUAACUCCGCUGAAACAUAUUUCCACCUAAAAAACAUGAAUGACUCCGAGGGAAGAAAUAUAUCCCAUAAUUAAAGGCGGCAGCGCUUUGAGGGGAAUGAAGCCUGGAGGAAAAGAGGAAGAAGGGGAACGAAAAAAAAAAGGAGGUGUAUGGGGAAGCAGAGAACGAGAGAGAUUUUUUUUAUUUCUGUGUUUGUUGCAUCGGGCCGAGAUUAGCAGCAGGUUUAUCAAGACAAGCCUCUGUGGCAACUUCGGGUGCGUGGGGAGAACGCGACAGCUCAUGAGGAGCAGAGAAGAGAAGAGAUUAAGGAACAGAGCCUAACUCCGAGAAAAGAGUCACGUUUGUUCCUCGGUCCUGAUGCGAAAUGACGUCAGCAAUUGCAUACCCUAUCGUCGUCAGAUCGAGCAGGACGGGGAGAGAGGCCUUUUCUCUGCCUUCCUUGCCUCCUUCUCCCCUCUCUGUCGGGACAAACUUCCAUCAGGAUUAUGCAAAAUCAUGUCCUAAGAGCUCCUGGCCGAUGCGACACCUUUCCCUCCGCGUGCCAUGCCAUCCAUACAUCCAGCAUAUGGAAAGCUCGGCAGGUCCCUGCGCCUAUAUGAUCUGGUACCACAUUAGUUUCCAGCAAUAUUUACAGCACUGCUUUUAAUAUGCACCAGAUGGUUUGCGAUGAUGCUGCCUCAGCCAGGGAGAUCUUUGGUUUUUAUUCAGCAGCGUUUUGUUACAAUUAUAAUCCAUGCUGAGACCAAUUUUAUUGGUGACCUUUAUUUUUUUCCCAUAUCUGUGAUAUUUUAUAUUACAAAAAAACCCAAAACUUAACUUCUCUGCAGCCUCUUGGCACAGAGGCAGGGUGGACAGGAAGGCAAGAGCAGUGGCAAACAGCUCUCAUUCUCAAUAACGAGAUGCUCCUGUGUAUAUACAUGUGUGCACAGAUAAAUAAUACAUAUGCAUAUUUAUUCAUUAUAUUUGAUCAAUAACGCUCAUAUUUGUUAAACCUCAAAUGAGUGCACUUGCCUGCAUGAUAACAAACAUCACAGGGCAAUAAAUAUUGCAUACAGUUAAUUAUUAUGCCUUGGUCUUCUUAUAUACUCAGACCCCUCGUAAAACUCCUUGCAAACACAAAUGUCUCUCACAGAUAUUUCGCUGUGAAAAUGGAAAAACUCAACACCUUGAAGUGUCUGAGAAUUCUUAAAUAUUGACAGGAGGAAACUGUGGCUAAUAUAUUCCUGCGAGCUAAACACUCUGUUUUUAAGAGAGGAGAGAGAGGGAGAGAGAGCAAUCCUUGUCUAGAAAACAUUCCAGGGCUUUUAUUUCACUGCCUUGGAUAUGUUAUCAGAAAGCUACAUCCAGGGUCGCGUUCGUUUUUCUCCUGAAAUUCCGAGAUUCCGCUCGUUUUUCUCGCUCUCUCUCUCUUUCUAUUUUUUUCUUUUUUUUUUUUUUUUUUUCCCCUCUACGGCAGAGAGCCUGGUUUCAGUGUGGCUGUGUAAAUAGCCGUCCUUUGCAGGUGUUUCCCUCUACACGAACGCUUUCCCUGCUUUUAUAGGAACUCACAUUUAUUUCCUAUCCUGCCAAAAUCACAGAUGUUUAUUUUAUUGAUGUAGCCUAUACCUUGGUUGUGCCAGGAAUAGUAUGUCUCUACUAAAAAUCAUUUAGCAAAUAAUCGAGGCAUUCUGGAUGCUUUCCAAUUUAUAUAUGUACUUGGUCAUAAAGUGAUAUGGAAAAAAAUUAACAUCUGCUUUCCUAAAAUAAAGUAUUACAAGUA